rnacentral:misc_RNA from 1 species
AACGCAUAUUGCACUCUCUGGUAAUCCGGGGAGUAUGCCUGUUUGAGGGUCAGUAAAUAAUAAUUAUCAUAAUCUUUUGAUUGUGGAAUUGGGCUUUUAUUUCAUUUUUAAUGAUUUAUGGCCUUAAAUUUAUGUUACCGCUUGUUUAAUAUGAAAUUCGACCGAAUGGAGCAAUUAAACAUUCUCUCGUUAGGCGGAUUCAUCAAGCAAUUACGAUUUUUGGCCGUCGAGGCACUUUUUUUAGAAGUGCUUGGUCGAGAUUGUAAGAUACAUUUAACAAUGACCUCAAAUCAGGCAAGAAUACCCGCUGAACUUAA